UACAGAGGUCUCAACCGUUGUUCGGAUUCAUUGGGCGGAAAGGGUGCGUAGGCGGUCGCGCAAGUCGGAUGUGAAAUCUCAGGGCUCAACCCUGAAACUGCAUUCGAUACUGCGUGGCUAGAGUGCUGGAGAGGAGACUGGAAUUUACGGUGUAGCAGUGAAAUGCGUAGAUAUCGUAAGGAAGACCAGUGGCGAAGGCGAGUCUCUGGACAGCAACUGACGCUGAGGCACGAAGGCCAGGGGAGCAAACGGG
rnacentral:rRNA from 1 species